ACACAAUUAUGUUAUUUGGUGGAAAGGCGGUUGAACUUCAAAGUUUUAUGAUCUAGCAUCUUCUAUGGUUUAUACUUCUUUCCAUUAGGUUCUCUAUUGCAUGGACUGCCCUUUUCAUAUAUAAGCAUGAAUAUUGACUGGAGAGAUUUUCAUUAUUGAGUUUGACUGAAGAGAUUUCACUGUGUGUACUUUAUAUUAUAGAUUUUUUUUUCAGGAUUGCUUUAAAAGGAUUGAAAACAACUUUUUAAUUUUCAAUCAACCGUGUUCUCAAAAAGAAGUUUACAUGUGCUAUCAAGGAAAUGUUAUGCAUCAGCCUCAGUUGAUUUACCCAUCAAGGAUCAAGAGCUAACAACUGAAGACAUAUUUUUGUUUAAAUUAUCUGAGAUGUGAUGAUGCAUUUUUGGUAAUCAUUGGAGAAUUACACCUUAUGGUGAUCGUGAUUCUUCAUUGUCGCCUCGGGUACUUAUGAUUUUCUCUAUCUGCCAAUUAACUUUAAGAAUAAAUGCAAUGUUGGCUAUGCAUUUAUCAAUAUGCUGUCACCCUCUCUUAUUAUUCCAUUCUAAGAGGAAGAAAUGGGAGAAAUUUAAUAGCGAAAAAGUUGCUUCUUUGGCAUAUGCUCAAAUUCAAGGAAGUCUGCCCUUGUGAGCCACUUUUAAAAUUCAAGUUUGAUGAAUGAAGAUAAGAGAUGUCAUCCUAUUAUUUUCCACUCAGAG